CCUACGGGUGGCUGCAGUGAGGAAUAUUGGUCAAUGGACGAGAGUCUGAACCAGCCAAGUAGCGUGAAGGAUGACUGCCCUAUGGGUUGUAAACUUCUUUUAUAAAGGAAUAAAACGAGGCACGUGUGCCUUUUUGCGUGUACUUUAUGAAUAAGGAUCGGCUAACUCCGUGCCAGCAGCCGCGGUAAUACGGAGGAUCCGAGCGUUAUCCGGAUUUAUUGGGUUUAAAGGGUGCGCAGGCGGAGGCACAAGUCAGCGGUAAAAUCGCGGGGCUCAACCCCGCUCCGCCGUUGAAACUGUGUGCCUUGAGUGCGCGAAGGGUAGGCGGAAUGCGUGGUGUAGCGGUGAAAUGCAUAGAUAUCACGCAGAACUCCGAUGGCGAAGGCAGCCUACCGGCGCGCCACUGACGCUGAUGCACGAAAGCGUGGGUAUCGAACAGGAUUAGAUACCCCUGUAGUC
rnacentral:rRNA from 1 species